GGUCACGGGCCGGCCCGUUGUGUGAGGACGGGGCUCCGUGUUACCCGGCCUCCGUCAGCCUGGGGGUGUGCAGGAAGCCUGGCAGGGCUUUGCCACGGAGCUUGAGAGCUUGAUCGUGUAGCGUUUAGUAAUAAUAAUAAUAAUAAUAAAGUUGUUUGCUGUUGUUUCUGAAGGAAAUGACAGCGGGAAAGCGGACCGGGAGAAACCCUUCUGGAAGGAACUCGGUGUAGAGAGGGAUCUGAUGCACCUUGAAGUCACGCUGGAUCCAAACUCUGUAAGGUGCAGUGGAUGCAGGAAGGCGUGCUGCGAUGCCCGCAGUGCUGCUUGGUGCCGCCUGAGCAUCGCUCAGGUGCUGCAGCUCGCAGCCUUGUGCAGGUUUGCAGCAGCCUUGUAUGACCUUGGUAAGAGAGAAGCUGAGUGACUUGUCCUCUUUACAAAAGACCAGAUUCAAAGAGACUUUGUGUUACAUUUGUAUACUUCAAAAUAUUGAGCAGAAGUCUGCUGGCUUGUAGACCAUUGCAUCCUGCUUGCUUCUCAGAGACCUGGCUUGGACUUGUGCUGUUUUUCAUACGGCUUCCAUAAACAGGUUAUGUUCACUAAAGUGAGCUGGGAUAAAAGAUUUUGAAAUAGAUGAAGACAGAGAGCUGUUGGAGAGGGUCCAGAGGAGGGCCACAAAGAUAAUCAAGGGGCUGGAGUAUCUCUCUUGCGGAGACAGGCUGAGGGAGCUGGGCUUGUUCAGCCUGGAGAAAAGAAGGCUGCAGGGUGACCUCAAUGCAGCCUUUCA